AGAGUUUGAUCCUGGCUCAGGAUGAACGCUGGCGGCGUGCUUAACACAUGCAAGUCGAACGAAGCACUUUAUUUGAUUUCCUUCGGGACUGAUUAUUUUGUGACUGAGUGGCGGACGGGUGAGUAACGCGUGGGUAACCUGCCUUGUACAGGGGGAUAACAGUUGGAAACGGCUGCUAAUACCGCAUAAGCGCACGGCAUCGCAUGAUGCAGUGUGAAAAACUCCGGUGGUAUAAGAUGGACCCGCGUUGGAUUAGCUAGUUGGUGAGGUAACGGCCCACCAAGGCGAUGAUCCAUAGCCGACCUGAGAGGGUGACCGGCCACAUUGGGACUGAGACACGGCCCAAACUCCUACGGGAGGCAGCAGUGGGGAAUAUUGCACAAUGGGCGAAAGCCUGAUGCAGCGACGCCGCGUGAGCGAAGAAGUAUUUCGGUAUGUAAAGCUCUAUCAGCAGGGAAGAUAAUGACGGUACCUGACUAAGAAGCACCGGCUAAAUACGUGCCAGCAGCCGCGGUAAUACGUAUGGUGCAAGCGUUAUCCGGAUUUACUGGGUGUAAAGGGAGCGUAGACGGCAAGGCAAGUCUGAUGUGAAAACCCAGGGCUUAACCCUGGGACUGCAUUGGAAACUGUCUGGCUCGAGUGCCGGAGAGGUAAGCGGAAUUCCUAGUGUAGCGGUGAAAUGCGUAGAUAUUAGGAAGAACACCAGUGGCGAAGGCGGCUUACUGGACGGUAACUGACGUUGAGGCUCGAAAGCGUGGGGAGCAAACCAGGAUUAGAUACCCUGGUAGUCCACGCCGUAAACGAUGAA
rnacentral:rRNA from 1 species